AUUGAACGCUGGCGGCAGGCCUAACACAUGCAAGUCGAGCGGUAGAGAGAAGCUUGCUUCUCUUGAGAGCGGCGGACGGGUGAGUAAUGCCUAGGAAUCUGCCUGGUAGUGGGGGAUAACGUUCGGAAACGGACGCUAAUACCGCAUACGUCCUACGGGAGAAAGCAGGGGACCUUCGGGCCUUGCGCUAUCAGAUGAGCCUAGGUCGGAUUAGCUAGUUGGUGAGGUAAUGGCUCACCAAGGCGACGAUCCGUAACUGGUCUGAGAGGAUGAUCAGUCACACUGGAACUGAGACACGGUCCAGACUCCUACGGGAGGCAGCAGUGGGGAAUAUUGGACAAUGGGCGAAAGCCUGAUCCAGCCAUGCCGCGUGUGUGAAGAAGGUCUUCGGAUUGUAAAGCACUUUAAGUUGGGAGGAAGGGCAGUUACCUAAUACGUGAUUGUUUUGACGUUACCGACAGAAUAAGCACCGCU
rnacentral:rRNA from 1 species